rnacentral:rRNA from 1 species
GAUGAACGCUGGCGGCGUGCCUAAUACAUGCAAGUCGAGCGAACAGACGAGGAGCUUGCUCCUCUGACGUUAGCGGCGGACGGGUGAGUAACACGUGGAUAACCUACCUAUAAGACUGGGAUAACUUCGGGAAACCGGAGCUAAUACCGGAUAAUAUAUUGAACCGCAUGGUUCAAUAGUGAAAGACAGUUUUGCUGUCACUUAUAGAUGGAUCCGCGCCGCAUUAGCUAGUUGGUAAGGUAACGGCUUACCAAGGCAACGAUGCGUAGCCGACCUGAGAGGGUGAUCGGCCACACUGGAACUGAGACACGGUCCAGACUCCUACGGGAGGCAGCAGUAGGGAAUCUUCCGCAAAGGGCGAAAGCUUGACGGAGCAACGCCGCGUGAGUGAUGAAGGUCUUCGGAUCGUAAAACUCUGUUAUUAGGGAAGAACAUAUGUGUAAGUAACUGUGCACAUCUUGACGGUACCUAAUCAGAAAGCCACGGCUAACUACGUG